GGGUUCUCCAGCUGCUGACGAAUGCGCGAGUCGAACUUGUCGACUUGUAGAUCGUCAAUGUCCGAUCGAACCGCAGUCAAUGAUGGCUGCGGACCGACUACGGGAGAGAACGCUGAGCGUCACCAC
rfam:Rhodococcus erythropolis PR4 DNA, complete genome.